rnacentral:rRNA from 1 species
GACAGAGGUCCCGAGCGUUAGGCGGAAUCACUGGGCUUAAAGCGUGUGUAGGCGGAUUUGUAAGUACCUUGUGAAAUCCCACGGCUUAACCGUGGAACUGCUUGGUAUACUGCUUAUCUUGGGCCACUUAGGGGUUACCGGAACAAACGGUGGAGCGGUGAAAUGCGUAGAUAUCGUUUGGAACGCCAAUGGUGAAAACAGGUAACUGGGAGUGUGCCGACGCUGAGACACGAAAGCGUGGGGAGCAAACAGG